AUAAUAAUAAUUCAAGGUUGUGAUAAGGUAGAAAGAAGAUUGAUGAUGAUAAUUGGGAUACCAAUGAAGGUGACACCAAAAGGGGGAGAAAAAGGGAAGAAAAUAAAGAAAGCAUAGUGGGGUUUAAUUUUUUUCGAGGGAGCGUCUGUGGGUAUCAUUUAGUUAUUCUUUUUAUUCUUUUUUAUUUUUUUAUUUAUUUUUGGGAUAUUUAAAAUGGUGUAAUGUCAGACUUGCCCUCAAGUGGACACAAAAAGGGUCUUCUUUAUAAUCAUCACUAUUUAUUUAUCUUCCUUGCUUUCAUCAUCGUCAUCAUCUACUUCUCUGGUUUAAUUAUUUUCCUCUUCUAAUUUUUAUUUUUUAUUUUUUUAAUUUUGAAAAUUUUCAAAAAUAAAAUAGCUUCUGCCUAAUUAAAUUAAUUUCUUCAUUCAUUUUGUCAAAGUGGAUGGGCUGAAUUUGAACCAUCUGCCUAUAAAUAUGGAUGUGGGUAAUUUAGUGGGCUUUUUUGGGCCUGGGUCACUUUCCAGAUCAUAUAUUGGAGGCCCAAAUUGGUUGGGCUUAGGCCCAACGGACAUUAUAUUGGGCUUUUCAAAAUUAGGGCUUAGGUUAUGGGGCGGGUGCUCUACGGUUGUGCUCUUGUCUUGGUUUCUCCCGCCAAGAUCUCAUGUUUUAACGGUCUUCUUCAUCCAACAUUUUGUCCUUUCCCUUCUCGUGUAACCUUCGUCAAUUGUAACUUAACUUUGUCCGUCGGUUACAGAAGCAAUCCGAUCGUGGCCGAGUAUGUAUGCCUAGAUCCGAUAGCGGAAUUUGUAGUAGUCGAAACCCAGAGAUUUAAGGAGUAGGUGUCGGAGAAGCUAGCGAAGGAUCGUGAGACGAUUGUGGAGGCAGAUGAUGAAGGAAAAGCUGUAUGCUUCAUCACAAAGAUUCUCCAAUACAGUGUCAAUUCCAUUGAUAUCUUUGUUGCUAUACACAUGACUUAUUUCUCUCAAUACAUGAAUCAUUCUGGGGCUGUGGUUUUACACUGAAUUGGAAAUUUGGAUGCUCAUUUUCAUGCUCUAUAUGAAUCUUCUAACUUCCACAAUGAGCAUCUUAAAUCAAGCUCCACUAUUCUGUCGUAUCAACCACACUUGCUUGUCAUGAUCAAGAACAAAGGGUUGAACAUAAAAUCAGCUGGCAGCUUCAGAAAUGCUCUGCAAUGAUGGUCUCCAAGCCUUUGGCCUCGCUGCAGUGGCGUUUGCUGCUGGUGUUCUGAUGCGAUGUCUUUCAUGUUUGACUACCUGCAAUGUUUAUUUCACAGAGAUUAUUGUCAUCUGCUGUGAUUCAAAAGGAAACAAAUCUGGUUACCUGCUGGCUAUUUUCAGUCUCAUCUCCGGCAGCCGGCUUCUCCGGCUUCCUCUCCGACUCCGGCAAUUGCUUCUUGGAUUUUGCAUACUUUUUAGCUCGCAACACCUUUAUAACCUCUGCAAAUUCCAACAAAACGUCAAAAGGGCUGAACUAAAACAGAAGGAAAUGAAAGAACUUCAAAAAGAUCAAAGAGGCACCAUACCCUGAGUAGUGACAAGCCGAUAGGCAUGGCCAAGAGCAAGAGUGUCAUUUGGCCGGAGAAGCUUGACACGGGUAAACCGCACCGUUUUAGGCUCCCGAUUAUCUUCCUCAGAUUGAGGCAAGGGAAUUAUAAGAGAAACAUAGUGACCCGGAUUAGUCCUCAUGACUUCACUCGCCACCACCGGCCAAUACAGCCUCUCAAUCCGGCCAGUUGGAU